rnacentral:lncRNA from 10 species
UAUCCAUGAGAUAUAGAUAAUAUUUUAUUUUUCUCUUCAAUCUCAUCAAAUUUAUCAAAAAAUACUAUGUUACCUCUAAAACCUAUCAAAAAUGUCCCCCCUUUAUCCCUCCUGAAUCCACCAUAUUUGCUGGUGCCAUUUUCCACAUGGCCUAUACCCCCAUCCUCUUUCUCAUCAUUCCUUGCAGAGUUAAAAGUAUUGUAACACAGCAGAGCCUAUUGUGCUCAAUGCUUGAAACCCUCUCAUGGGUUGCUAGUGCAUUUGGAGUAAAAUUUAAGCUACUUUUAGUGGCCAAGAGUCCAUAUUGGUUAAGAUAAGUUCAUUUGCAAAUAACAGAAAUUCCAAAUAGACGCUAUCUCCAGGAAGAGAGUGUCAGAGUGGAACUGAAUUAGAGGACUUCCAGCUUCAGUCUGCUGCAAAAUUGAUGGCUUGCUUGUUGGUGAGGUGUGGGUUGUGAGGAGAGGGUAACUAACUUGUCCUUCUGUUCAUAGAUAACAUGUGCAUGGGGGAAAACUGCAGAGUGAUUAUCCCAACUCCCCAGUGGGGUUCAGAAGCUUAUGUACCAUCUUGAGGUUGCAGAAAGAAUGGGGGCUUGGAUUGUGGCAAAACAGGUUGUGAUUAUGGGAGGGAGAGAAGAGGAGCCCUGGCUAGCAAAGAUCACUUGUUAUGUAGAUGAAAUCUCACAGGUAGCCGCCCUCAGAGAGAAUAGAUGGUAAAUGUUUCUUUCAGACCUUCAAAGGUGUCGACAGUCGGUUAAUCUUUCCUAGAUCUGGA